GAGGAGGCUGCCUGCAGCUGCAGCCGCGAGAGAUGGAUGUGCAGGAUCAGACACUGCCCAGCCCCUGAGCCAGGAUCCCUGUCUGUAUCUGCUGCAGCCCUGUAGACACCGGCAGGGGCAGCAGCAGCAGCAGCAGCAGCAGCAGCAGCGGAGAUUCAUCUGCUGAGAAGCUGCCACCAAGCUCAGGAUCUCGGGGGAGCUUUCCCCAGGAAGCUGUCCAGACUUCUGCAAUGGCUACCUCCUCCACCAAGGGCCACAACUGUCAGUCACCCGACUGGAGGCUGAAGCAGGGAGACACACUACACAACUUUCUUCCACUUAAGUUCUGGAGGUGGAACCCAGGCGCUCACAUCCUGGACAAGCAUUCUCUGUGGGAACACAAGCCCAGCCACCCACCUGGAACUCCAAACCAGAGUCUGCAAGCCUUCUGAAGGCAAUUAGACCAAAGAGUGACCAAGACUCUGCCCUUGUCCUUCCUUCCUCAGGCUUCCCAGGCUGCUCUACCUCCCUCAUAGACCCCUCUGCUCUCUACUGAUCUUCCCUGGAGUUCUGUCCUUAACUCUCUUAUUUAUGGAUACUAAAAUGUGAAUUUCACAUUUCCAUGUUUCAUGAAACAUUCUUGCUUUUAAAAAAAAAAUCAUUUAAAAAAA
rnacentral:lncRNA from 1 species